UCAGGAUGAACGCUGGCGGCGUGCUUAACACAUGCAAGUCGAACGAAGCACUUCUACUGAUUCUUCGGAUUGAUGUGGAUUUGACUGAGUGGCGGACGGGUGAGUAACGCGUGGAUAACCUGCCUGUAUCUGGGGGAUAACAGUUAGAAAUGACUGCUAAUACCGCAUAAGCGCACGUGACCGCAUGGUCGAGUGUGAAAAACUCCGGUGGAUACAGAUGGAUCCGCGUUAGAUUAGCCAGUUGGCGGGGUAACGGCCCACCAAAGCGACGAUCUAUAGCCGGCCUGAGAGGGCGACCGGCCACAUUGGGACUGAGACACGGCCCAAACUCCUACGGGAGGCAGCAGUGGGGAAUAUUGCACAAUGGGGGAAACCCUGAUGCAGCGACGCCGCGUGAGUGAAGAAGUAUUUCGGUAUGUAAAGCUCUAUCAGCAGGGAAGAAAAUGACGGUACCUGACUAAGAAGCCCCGGCUAACUACGUGCCAGCAGCCGC
rnacentral:rRNA from 1 species